GUGCAGAUCAAAGUCCAGUUCGCAGCCUUCACCAGCUGUAAUUCAUACAGUGGGUCCUCACUCAGUCACUUUCUCUACAUGUGGUGUGCAGCUGAAAGACUGUUGCAUUCCGCUGCUUCUUGACACGGGAGCUAAAGUGUCAUUGCUUAAUAUGGCCACCUACAAGAAAUUUUUCUCUGAUGUUGAGUUACAACCAUCACCUCUGAAGCUCUGUGGUUAUGGCCAAGCUAGCAUUGCAGUGACUGGAGAAGUUAAACUGCCAGUACAAUAUGGGCAUAUACGUCUACCAGAGUUUCCAUUUUACAUAACUCCACAUGGCGCUAACAUCCUGGGUCUUGACCUGUUCCUUAGCCUUGACUUUUCUCUGCAUGACAACAGUGGUGCAACCAUCCUUCAGGUGGACUCUCCAUGGCAGACACAGUUUCCCACUCUAUUCAGUGGUUUAGGCUGCUUCUCUGUUUUUUCCCACAAACCCCUGCUUAACCCAGAUAUACCGCCUGUAAUCCAGCCGCUGCGACGAGUGCCUCUCGCCAUGCGCGACAAGGUCACCACUGAACUACAGGGCAUGCUAGCUGCAGACCUCAUUGAGCCCAUUGAUGCUUCCCCUUGGGUCUCAAAUCUUGUGGUUGUGCAAAAACGGUCUGGGGGCAUACGUCUCUGCGUUGACCUUCGGGGGCCUAACAAGGCUGUGGUGCCAGACAAAUACCCAUUGUCGACAAUUGAGGAACUCACGACAGUCUUCUAUGGCUCCUCAGUGUUCACAAAGCUGGAUCUUAAGCAAGGUUACAUGCAGAUACCCCUACACGAGGACAGCAGGAACCUGACUGCAUUCGUGACUCACAUGGGUUUGUUCCGUUUUAAGAGGAUUCCUUUUGGCCUAAGUUCAGCACCUAGUUGCUUUCAGAAAAUCAUGGCCACUGUCCUAGCAGGGCUCCCAGGUACGGCUGUGUACUUAGAUGAUAUUGUAGUACAUGGAAAGGACGUGGCCACUCAUGACGAAUGCCUCAGACGGGUGUUCACGGCUCUGUCUAGACACAAUCUGACAUUAAACACAGAAAAAUGCGUGUUUGCUGUCCCAGCAAU
rnacentral:lncRNA from 1 species